CAUCAAAAAUUCCCCCAACCAACGCCUCCUUCUCGGUCUCUCCCUCUCCCACCGCCGCCGCCCGCCACCACCUACACCUUCAAGUGUCGCCGCCACCCACCACAGGGGGCCUCCGUCCUCUCCCACAACCGGCGUAUUCCUCUCCCACCUCGCCCCCACCCUCUCCUCCUCACCUCACCUCACCUUUUCGUAUUUAACUGUUUCUAUCACCUUCUUGUAUUUCACUAGAGCAGGAUAAUCUGUCGUCGGCCGAUUCCGGCGCCACCCCGCGCCGCAGCUCACCGGCCCGGCUCCUCAUCUCCCCCCUCUACCGAUUCGCCGCAUCCGCCCCGGCCUCCUGCCCCCGCGCACGCCACCUAGGCAAACCCUAGCUCGCCGGUGCGGCGGUGCGGUGGCCGUGUUCCGCUCCUCCUCCCCAGCUCCGGCGCCCCCGCCUCGCUUACUCGGCGAGGGCUUCCUCCGCCACGACUCCUUCUUGUCCCACGGCGGUGGCGUUGGCCGUUCCUCCUUCGUCUUUGCCUCGGUUGAGUGACUGAUUUUCUCGAAGAACAUCCUACCUGAUGAAAGGACGCGAUGUUCAGGUCAUCACUGUGAAGUAACCUUGCAUAAGGUUUGUUCUGAAAAAAGUGAUGGAAGCUACCCUCGACAUAUAUGUUUUUACUACAAAAGGAGAAUAAUAUGGCACCGGCUGAAACAUGUAGUGCCUGAAUGUGCACAAUGUAAGCUGGAUGAAAACAGAACGGCGGAGUCUAUUGAUCCUUCAAAGAUAGUGAUAAGUUGGAGUAUUUGGCCAUCAACGAGUAGCUUUGUAGCACGAUCAUAGGAAGUGCAGUAACAUAGGCAGGCUCUGCUGCCUGUGUUAUUUCCUUGGUUUUGGGGAGAAUUUGAUGCCACUUUGUUCGGCCCGUGCAUUUGGCAUCAACAAAUGUAUUAUGAUGCAGGGUUUGUAGCUCGGAUCAUGUUCGAUCAUUCAUAGCCAUUAUCUUAUAUGUAUAUAUGGACCAUUGAUAAACAGAAUUUCUCAUUGCUGUCAUUAUCAUUUGUUUGUGUACAGGGCAUUGCAUUGUGGGGGUGUGGCUACAUGGAUAUGUCCUUCGCCCAUCCAGUUGCCCUGUUUGUCGUCGCCCCAUAACGCUGCUGGGCCAAGAAUUGGGUAUUUUCCAUUGUUGGUGUCGACUAUACAGGCUCAUUUCAGCAGCUCACUCCCACUAGGUGUUGAUACUGUUUGGUUUGAGUAUAAAGGGCUGCCACUGAAAUGUUCGCAUUGUUAGGUGUAUACCCAGUGGUGUUCUUUUCGACCUUCUCUGUGCAGAUACCGAAAGGCCAUGGAAUCUAACAAGCGAAACAUGGCUCACAACGAUGAGGCCGGCGGUCCGGGCAAGGCAUUCUGGGAGCUAUCCCAGGAGAUGGAGGAAGAACUUCACCGCUAUGAGGACACCGCGGAAGACACCGAUCCCGACUAGAUAACCCCUAGUGACGUCGGGAUGACAUCACUGAUAGUGCUGCCGAGGAUGCCACCACUGAUGAUGGCAGCGCACACACAGAUGGUAGUGAUGCCCGCAGAUGUCUUCUAUGUGAUGGUAGUUUAGAUGAUCGAUAUCGAUUUGUAAUGUGAAGACAAACUCGCUACUCGUGGUCUUGA